UACGUAGGGCGCAAGCGUUAUCCGGAAUUAUUGGGCGUAAAGAGCUCGUAGGCGGUUUGUCGCGUCUGCCGUGAAAGUCCGGGGCUCAACUCCGGAUCUGCGGUGGGUACGGGCAGACUAGAGUGAUGUAGGGGAGACUGGAAUUCCUGGUGUAGCGGUGAAAUGCGCAGAUAUCAGGAGGAACACCAAUGGCGAAGGCAGAUCUCUGGGCCGUAACUGACGCUGAGGAGCGAAAGCGUGGGGAGCGAACAGG
rnacentral:rRNA from 1 species